rnacentral:piRNA from 1 species
UGCCAGCGCCUGGCUCAUCUGUUGGC